GUUAAGUGACGAUAGCCUAGGAGAUACACCUGUACCCAUACCGAACACAGUAGUUAAGCCCUAGAACGCCGGAAGUAGUUGGGGGUUGCCCCCUGUGAGAUAUGGAAG
rnacentral:rRNA from 1 species